rnacentral:rRNA from 1 species
AACCGGCGAUACCCGAAUGGGGAAACCCAGUGUGUUUCGACACACUAUCAUGUCAUGAAUACAUAGUGGCAUGAGGCGAACCGGGGGAACUGAAACAUCUAAGUACCCCGAGGAAAAGAAAUCAACCGAGAUUCCCCCAGUAGCGGCGAGCGAACGGGGAGGAGCCCAGAACCUGAAUCGGCUUGUGUGUUAGUGGAAGCGUCUGGAAAGUCGCGCAGCAAAGGGUGAUAGCCCCGUACACUAAAAUGCACAGGUCGUGAGUUCGAUGAGUAGGGCGGGACACGUGACAUCCUGUCUGAAUAUGGGGGGACCAUCCUCCAAGGCUAAAUACUCCUGACUGACCGAUAGUGAACCAGUACCGUGAGGGAAAGGCGAAAAGAACCCCGGCGAGGGGAGUGAAAUAGAACCUGAAACCGUGUACGUACAAGCAGUGGGAGCACCUUCGUGGUGUGACUGCGUACCUUUUGUAUAAUGGGUCAGCGACUUAUAUUUUGUAGCAAGGUUAACCGUAUAGGGGAGCCGUAGGGAAACCGAGUCUUAACUGGGCGA